rnacentral:rRNA from 1 species
UACGGAGGAUGCGAGCGUUAUCCGGAUUUAUUGGGUUUAAAGGGAGCGUAGGUGGAUUGUUAAGUCAGUUGUGAAAGUUUGCGGCUCAACCGUAAAAUUGCAGUUGAAACUGGCAGUCUUGAGUACAGUAGAGGUGGGCGGAAUUCGUGGUGUAGCGGUGAAAUGCUUAGAUAUCACGAAGAACUCCGAUUGCGAAGGCGGCUCUCUGGUCUGCAACUGACGCUGAGGCUCGAAAGCAUGGGUAGCGAACAGG